UGUUCCUACCAGAUCUAAAUUGUUAAUUGACGUGUAGAAUAUUAAUUAUAUAGCUCUUCAGUUUUCAGCAGCAUUAGAUAUGCAUUUUUCUUUCUAUUUAUUUUUUUUCGUAUUCCAGAAAAGUUAACUGAUAUAGGCAAUAUAUGUUACUAUUGCAACGAGAUGUUCCACGUUGAACUGUGUGACGUUGUCAAGCGGUGCUCGGAAAAUGAGAUAUGCUAUUGAGAACGGUUUUCAAAGCAUGGCAGACAAACGUUUAGAUCCGGGUGUAUAUCACAGGAGGUAUGUUUGAAAGAAUCAGAAACUGCUGGUAACGACCCAGACAGAUGUUUGGACUGUUGUUCAGGCAGUUACUGUAAUCACAAGGGUUGUGGAGAGACCGGUUUACCCGCAAGAGAUCAGCGCGGUCCAUUAUGCUAUGACUGCGAGUAUGCGUUUUCUCCUGAUGAAUGUGACACACUGAAGCUGUGCGAUCAGGGACAGGUUUGCAGCAUAGAAGAAACAAAAUGGGGAACACAUUCUAAUUUCAGAAUGGGUUGCGCCCAUGCAUCGGUAAUAUCAAGUCGUUGAUUAUGGGAACUAAAAGCGACAUUUGCUAUAUCCUCCAUCGUGUUUGCUAUGUUUUGUAACUCAACGUGUAAAUAAUAUCCAUUUAUUAAUUUUUCUUAACCUUAUCUAAUUAUUAAGAUUUGAAAUUAUAUACCCAUGGCUUGCUACAAGACUAAAUGUCUUUAAUCUCUAAGAGCUGAAAUAAAAAGAUAUUACUUACAAUAUUAACAAUGUUUAUUCAUAAACGAUUUUUGUUUUAUGUACUCAUAUUUUCAGGCGAAUAUGUUUACUUAAUAUUCUAAUAUUUACAAAUUCCCUCCGUUUAGUGCAGUCCAGUUCAACGUUCUGUGCAUGCGUUGCCACGUUCAACUCCCACUUGCCAAGCCUGUUGCAAUGAGGACUAUUGUAACUUGAAUUGCACAAUGGGUUCAGGACAUGGACAGCCUGUCAUAGUAGGAUGAAGAGGAAGUUGUAUGAACAUAGCAAUAUUCAUCAUUUAUCAUUAUUAUUCUUUAGAUUUGUAUCAUGUAUGUUUUGUUCACACGUUUAAAUGAAACCAGAAGCUGAUGCAUUAUAAAACAAAUGUUGCUAAUAUAGGAUGAAAUUAUAUAUAUCAAUUUCAUCAGAAUUUCCAUUAGUAUUUUGUACAAACAAAUCAGUAAUCAGGAUGUUAAUUCAAGAAAAUGGUUUAGAGAUGUAAACACUGACAAGAGCAUUCUUGGAAAAACAAAAAGAAGUAUUUACAAAGAAAAGAACUAUUUUCAAACAAAAAUUGUAUCAUUGCAAUGACGUACUUCACAUACUUCAAUAAGUCGCUAUUCUUAUGGUCAGAGGACAUGGGGCAAAAACGUCGUAGGUCUGACCUCUGAUUAAAUAUUUGUACUAUUUCACAAUAAUUGCUAUGUUUCAAUAUAUUAAACAGGUUGCAUACAUAAUUAUGUUUGUUCGUCUUCUUUUCAAUUUAUUUAAUUUUGAUUUAAUGAAAAAUUUAAGAAUCUAAUAUUAACUUAUAAAUAUUUUAUUAGAUGUACCAUACAGUCGGCUAGAAAUUCAAUAUGAUAUUGUAUCCCCAGUGCAAAGGGUAGAUAAAUUAUUUGAUUUUUUUUUUUUUGCGUUUAACGCCGUUUUUCAAUAGAUUUUUUUUUCAGUUAUGUAACGGCGGGCAGUUAACGUUACCUUAGUUCAUGGAUUCUGUACCAGUACAAACAUGUUCUUCACAAGUAACUGCCAAUUUCCUCACAUGAAUCAGAGAUGGAGGACGAAUGAUUUUCAGAUACAAUGUCUUCUAUCAAAUCGUCACGGAGAACAUGCCUCGCCCUUGGAAUGAACUCACGGCCCCGCGAUCCGUAGA